GACGAACGCUGGCGGCGUGCAUAAUACAUGCAAGUCGAACGCACGAAGUUGAAGAGCUUGCUCUUUAACCAAGUGAGUGGCGGACGGGUGAGUAACACGUGGGUAACCUACCCAUUAGAGGGGGAUAACAUUCGGAAACGGAUGCUAAUACCGCAUAGUUUCAGGAAUCGCAUGAUUCGUGAAGGAAAGGUGGCUUCGGCUACCACUAAUGGAUGGACCCGCGGCGUAUUAGCUAGUUGGUGAGGUAAUGGCUCACCAAGGCAAUGAUACGUAGCCGACCUGAGAGGGUGAUCGGCCACACUGGGACUGAGACACGGCCCAGACUCCUACGGGAGGCAGCAGUAGGGAAUCUUCCGCAAUGGACGAAAGUCUGACGGAGCAACGCCGCGUGAGUGAAGAAGGUUUUCGGAUCGUAAAACCCUGUUGUUAAAGAAGAACAAGGAUGAGAGUAACUGCUCAUCCCCUGACGGUAUUUAACCAGAAAGCCACGGCUAACUACGCGCCAGCAGCCGCGGUAAUACGUAGGUGGCAAGCGUUGUCCGGAUUUAUUGGGCGUAAAGCGAGCGCAGGCGGUUCUUUAAGUCUGAUGUGAAAGCCCCCGGCUCAACCGGGGAGGGUCAUUGGAAACUGGAGAACUUGAGUGCAGAAGAGGAGAGUGGAAUUCCACGUGUAGCGGUGAAAUGCGUAGAUAUGUGGAGGAACACCAGUGGCGAAGGCGACUCUCUGGUCUGUAACUGACGCUGAGGCUCGAAAGCGUGGGGAGCAAACAGG
rnacentral:rRNA from 1 species